AUACUUCCCCGGCAGGGGAGAGACAUGAUCACGAAGGCGAGCCUCAUCCAUUGCACUCCAGAUGUGCUGACCCCUGAGAUUCCCCCAAAUGUGGGAAACUCGACUGCCUAAUUUCUGGUAGUGGGAGACUGCAUUUGUACUUUUCCCAG
rnacentral:snRNA from 1 species